GCCCCCGUAGGCCAAUAGCAAGGUCACCUGCUUUGUGUUCAGGAGGUGCGGGUUCGAUUCCUGCCGGGGGCACCA
rnacentral:tRNA from 1 species